rnacentral:lncRNA from 1 species
CCCUCCGAAUUUGUUCUGAAAAAAUUUUAAAUCGUUAGAUUUAUUAGAUUGAAUCACAAACAUUAAAUAAAAAGUUUUACUAAUAAAAUAAUUACAAUAUAAGUGAGCAUUCGUUAUUAAUACACGUGGACAAUAUUUUCUCGAUUGUGCUCUCUUUUUUUGAGGUGGAUUCUUAGCAUAUUGAGUAUAGAUUUUUGGUACCUUUAGUAUGGACUCCAAAGUGGUGAUUUGACGUCUAUUACUAGUUGCUUAAAUUUGUAUGGUAUGAUUUCUAAUCUCCCAACAAUUAGAUUCUACUUUUUGAUGCUUCUUCUACUUUAAGUAAGAUUCUUCGUCCUUUGACUUAUCUAUGAUUCUACUAUAAAGCUUCAUACUUUCGGUUAUUCUAUAUUUAAAGAAAAAAGCCUUUAAAUAAUCGGAAAUAUACUUUAAAUAAGUCAAAUUGUUACUAGAAUUGCAACUUCUGUUAAGAGCAGGACCACUUAAAACAUAGACCAAUUAUAUUAUGAUUUUGCUUUAAAAUAUUGAAAUGAAUAAUGAAAAUUGAAUAAAGCAUAAACUUAAUCCAAUCACUACCUCUAACUAUAUAACCCAGCCACCUCCAUCGAACACCCACUGAUCAUUGUUGCACCACCUCUUUUUAUUUGAUUAUAUAUUGUUAUCGGUAAAGGUGAUGAUGGCUGGAGGUGACAAGAACAACGGGCAUGGCUGAAGGCGACAAGGACAACGAACGUGGCUGGAGGCGACGACGACAACGAGCGUUGCUAGACGCGACAAGGACAAUGGCGUGGCUGUAUGAACGUCGAGCGAAUUAAGAAGAGCGACAGUCGAUGAACAUCAAGCGAAUGAAGAGGAGUGAUGGACACUGAACGUCAAGUUUUUGUUUCUCUUUUCUUUUCUUUUUUUGGUGGGUCUCAGUUGAUUUGGUGGAUUAAUAGGAAAGAUGGAGGUCAUUGGUGGUGACGAUGAAUAUUGAUUUAAUGGAGAUCGUAUGUUUGACGGAUUUAAUAGAGGUAGAAAUAGU